rnacentral:lncRNA from 1 species
UAAACAUUUAAUUAGUGAAUUUUUUUUUGUUCAAAGUUACCUUUUGAGGCAAGAUGGGGUAUUGGGUGCGGGGUAUUAUGGGACAUUGGUGAUAAUACCAUGGUACGUACUUACAAGAAAAAA